CUUUAAUCAUUCGGUGGUAACAGCUGUGCUGGAAUUUCCCGUGUGUCUGCGUGGCUUUCAUUCCUUUCUUCUCAUUCGCGUGGCUCUCAUGCUUUUGUUCUCAUUCUUGGCCUGUUAUUGGUUUUGGGAGCACCGCUUCAGGAGUACAGCUUUAGUUCCUCGUUCUUCUUCUUAGAGCUAACUCUCUCAUUCUUUACUUUGUUUACCUUAGACGAUGUGUGUUUGGUUUCCACUUUGGUGGUGUAUGAUUUCCAGGUUCUCUGCUUAAUUGGCUUUGCUGAAAAUUUUGUUUUCCAGUUACUUCAGCGCUUUGUGGUUUUGCAAGAUUAAUUCUUUAAGAAUGGGUCGGAAUAGAGUAUAUGGAAGUUUGGAGGAGGCUCGUGCUGCGAAAAAUCGAAGGAGCCGCGAGCGGCGUGCUGCUGUUCAUCGUGGAAUGAUGCGCCAUUAGGAGUGUGUACAUUAGCUGUCAUGGCUUUUAAUAUACGUGAUCCAAAUGCUAUGAAUCAACCAAAUAUGGGAGCCACUGAAUCAUCAUUGGCGUCGGACUCAAUGUUUGCAUCUGCAGAGAGUAAUGCAGAGCAAUUUGCGACUGAAAAUCAACGAGAUGUAUCUAGGCCUAUUGCUGAUGGUGUUAACAAGGUUACACCAUUGCUGAUGGUGUAUCUAUACUGUGAUUUUUGUGAGCUUGAGGGGUGUUUUGGUCUUUUGGCAUUGGAUGGCAAUGGUUUUGCUGGAAAUUCACUUCUGUCCGCGUGGGGCUCUUGAAUGGGAACAUUUUCGCCGUCAGCAAUUUUCUCUCAUUCUGUUCUUGGUUCUGUUCUAGGUUUUCUUUACCUCAGCUGUCCAGGCAAUUUAGGCGGUGAGUUGAGCUGAACCCAGUGCGCACCGCUUCAAGGUUUUGGGAGCUGCUACUUUUUCUUAUUCUUUUGUCGGUCUUGUUUCCUCUCGUUCUUUUCUUGGCCUUCUUUACCAGGUGUGUUUUUCCCAUUCCUCAUUCUUUUUCUUAGCUUUCUCUGGCCAGUGCUUUUUCCUUCCCUUGUUUUCCUAUUGAAUUUUCUGAGGACGGCGAUGAUUCCUGAUAGAUAGUCUUGCUGUAGUUAUGCCUUAUGUUACUGCUACUUCUUUGUUUUAAUGCAGCUGCUGCUUGGCUUAGGUAUAGCUAUGGUGGAUAUUACUCAGUGUAACCUUGCGAUAUCUUUAUUUGUUCUUCUUUGGCUGGAAUUGGAGAACAAUUGCUCUUUUUCUUGUUAAUGGAAUGCGUCGAUAUAGCUGUAAUAGUUAUUAUUCAAUUAAAUGUUAAGUUGUGUUUUUCGUUCCUUUUCUUUGUGCUGUAGAUUAAUGCUUUGAGAAUGGGUCGGAAUAGAGUAUACGGAAGCUUGGAAGAGGCAAUUAAACCAGAAUUAACUAUAAAACAGGUCUUUGCAUAAUUAAUGCUUUUACAAAUAUCUUGAAAUAAUAUUUCUUACUCCAUUAAAACUUUUCCUAUCAGAAAUUAGCAGUGAGAAUCCGGGUUCUGAUAUGAGUUCAGUGUUGCAUGGAUUGGACAAGAUGAGUUUGGGGUACGGGGCUAAAGCAGACGAGAAACAGGGGAAUCUGUAAACCAUUUGGCCUGACUUCUCAAUGUGUUAAUUCGUUUUUUUAAUGAAGCUGUUUAGACUUCACUAAGAGACAUGAAAACUUACUGAGUGUUGUUUUGAUCGGUUAAGUGAAUUGUUAUCGCAAUACAAAGGUGAAUCUUUUUUCCAGAUUUAUUUUCUUUAGAAUUCAUCAAAUGCUAAUUUCCAUUUCAGAUUUAUUUUGUUUAUGCUUUCCCACUACUUUCUUUAUGAGACUGGGGAUUGCCAAGUUUGUCGCAUGAAUCAGGAAUAUAUUUUAUACUAAAGGCAAAACGAAGGGCUCUAGGAAAUGUCUGGUGUUUUGGCCGAGCAUCAUCCAGCGCUAGCCAAUGCCCUGAUCGUAUGAUUGUUGGGUAACGUGUUUGAUGGUGUGAGUGCAGCAAAGGGUGUAUGUUCCAGGAAGGGAAAAGGAGAAGCAAACUGUUGAGCUGAAGGUCUACAAUCAGGGAAUGUUCAAAACUGAGUUGUGUAACAAAUGGCAAGAAACCGGGGAAUGUCCCUAUGCAGAGAACUGCCAAUUUGCUCAUGGAAUUAAGGAGCUACGCCCUGUAUUUCGCCACCCAAGGUACAAGACUGAGGUAUGCCGUAUGGUGUUGAACGGUGAUCACUGCCCUUAUGGACACUGAUGCCACAUCUGCCACACCCUCACUGAUGCGGAGAAGCUUAUCAAGUCUAUGAACAUCAGGCCCCUAAAGCCACUCAAUCGUUAGGUCCAUGAUUAUAACUCCCCUAAAUGAUGUUAGACAACUGCAAAAGUCUUGGCUGGUAUGCAACGAUGCUUUUGUUCUUCAAAGUAAGCAAUUGAUUAAUAGGCAAUAAGGCUAAGGUCUACUGAUGUGAUAAUACUGACUGCUUGAUUAAAAAAAAAACUGUAUGAUCCGUAGUCAAGGAGAUUAAAAGUAACAUUUCUCGGCAGUGCACCUUUGAUGA